rnacentral:lncRNA from 1 species
CCAGCUCGCCAGCCUCGCCGCCUUCUACCGCGCCAUGGGCAACGUCUGCUCCGAGGUGCUCGACGCCAAGCUCCAGCCGCCAGUGGCGUAGCUGUAGGGUGGCCAGGGUGGUCCAUGGACCACCCUGGAAUUUGGCCCAUUAGUUUAGUACUUCUCUGAAAAAAACAUAUCCAUGCCCAACUCAGGUCUCAGCCCAUAUACAUGGCUCGUUUCUUUCAUCUCAGAUACGCCUGUUAUCUGUAUGUACGCUGAUCGUUCCUAAUUCCCGACUCCCCGUCGUCUCCUCUUCCUCUAGUCUUCGGAGUCUGAAACCCUAGCGGCUAGCACCAUCGCCUAGCGCAACUGCGCAAGGCCGGCACUCCGGCAGGGCACCCGCAGGCGAUGACCGGACGACGGCCAGGCGGCCGGCGAAGGACGCGCGUCCCGGCGGUCAACGAAGGAACCGCGCCAGUACUGAACCGCGCACACACGCAUAGGUACAGCCCCGUGCAAUGCGCUAGUUGAUUUCUUUUCUAUUUCAAUCCAGAGUAUUAGAGUAAGAUGUUUAUUCUUCUCUAAUUCAAAGCACAAUUUCCUUUUCCUCUGAAGAUUUGCGAUUUGUCAAUUAUCAAUUCAAAGCACAAUUUUCUUUUUGCAACAAACAUGGCAUUGAAGUUCCUGUAAUGGAGAAUAAUUAUGUCCCUUAUGGAAGAUCAACACGGUUUGUGCAAUCUCAAACAAAUGCAGAUCACUUUAGAAGGGAAAUUUAUAUUGGGAUUAUUGAUAAAACCAGUCAAGAGCUUGACAAUCGGUUUGAUGAGGUCAAUAUGGAGUUGCUUUCUUGUAUGUCGGCCUUGAAUCCUGCCAACUCAUUUUCUGCUUUUGAUGCACAAAAGGUACGUAGACUUGCUGAGUUCUACCCCAAUGAUUUUUCGAGCUCUGACUUGAUGCACCUUGAAAUGCAACUUGAUAACUAUAUUGAUGACAUGAGAAAAGAUGACAACUUCAAAGGCCUAGAAAAUCUUGCUGAUCUCUCAGUUAAGCUUGUUCAAACAAGGAGGCAUAUAGUUCAUAAUUUGGUUUACUUGCUUCUAAAAUUGGUAUUGCUUCUACCGGUGGCAACAACAAGUGUUGAAAGAGCAUAUUCUGCAAUGAGUGUGGUCAAAAACAAGUUAAGAAACAAGAUGGGUGAUAGUCUUUUGGAUGAUUGCCUAGUCACAUACAUCGAACGAGAUGCUUUCUCCAAAGUGAAUGAAGAUAAUAUAAUUGAGACUUUCAUGGUCUUGAGAAGGCGGUAUACCGACAAAUAAGGUGUGUUAUAUUUUACGCAAAUGUAAGACUUGAACAUGAAUUUUAAUAUGCUUUGAAAGACCUUAUUGAUAUGUGCUUUGGAUAUAUUAUGCGUGCAUAUGUUGGUUUGUUAAAUUUGUGGUAUAUAUUUUAUUUUGUGCCAAUUGGACCACCCUGACAUAAAAUCCUGGCUACGCCACUGCCAGCCGCCGUCUCUAACCGUGCACGAGUGAUCUACCUGUGCUCUGUCUCUCUCUCUCUCUCUGAACCUGGCCGGAAAUGCUUGCUAGUUCAUCACAAAUCCAAAUGCUGCAUGGCAUUGGCAUCUUGAAUUAAUUAACCCGUGUCCCAUGAUGUUGAUGUUACACUUACUCGAGAAGUGUUUGUUGACUUUGUUUGUGUGUCCAUACGUACUACAACACAAUGCAUGCUCAGGCGCCCGGCUCGCUGACUUUCGUGAGCUCUAUCGUGACCUCGUAAUCACAUGAAAGAUGAAGCGAGAAACUACUAAGUAGUACUUGAGUCUUGAAGUGUCUUUCUGAUCUUCCCCUGGUACCUAUCUUGUGUACCGUAGUUUCUUCCUCAAAUUAACCAGUACAAAUGGAAGAUGAUAACAAGCACAUGUGUUCAAC